rnacentral:rRNA from 1 species
CGAACGGUGAAGAGGAGCUUGCUUCUUGGAUCAGUGGCGAACGGGUGAGUAACACGUGAGCAAUCUGCCCUUGACUCUGGGAUAACUGCGGGAAACUGUAGCUAAUACCGGAUAUUACCUUGGAAGGCAUCUUCUGGGGUGGAAAGAAUUUUGGUCAAGGAUGAGCUCGCGGCCUAUCAGCUAGUUGGUGAGGUAAUGGCUCACCAAGGCGACGACGGGUAGCCGGCCUGAGAGGGUGACCGGCCACACUGGGACUGAGACACGGCCCAGACUCCUACGGGAGGCAGCAGUGGGGAAUAUUGCACAAUGGGCGCAAGCCUGAUGCAGCAACGCCGCGUGAGGGACGACGGCCUUCGGGUUGUAAACCUCUUUUAGUAGGGAAGAAGUGACUGGGUUUUCCUGGAAGUGACGGUACCUGCAGAAAAAGCACCGGCUAACUACGUGCCAGCAGCCGCGGUAAUACGUAGGGUGCAAGCGUUGUCCGGAAUUAUUGGGCGUAAAGAGCUCGUAGGCGGUUUGUUGCGUCUGCUGUGAAAACCCGAGGCUCAACCUCGGGCCUGCAGUGGGUACGGGCAGACUAGAGUGCGGUAGGGGAGAUUGGAAUUCCUGGUGUAGCGGUGGAAUGCGCAGAUAUCAGGAGGAACACCAAUGGCGAAGGCAGAUCUCUGGGCCGUAACUGACGCUGAGGAGCGAAAGCAUGGGGAGCGAACAGGAUUA